GAUGAAGAACGUAGCGAAAUGCGAUAAGUAAUGCGAAUUGCAGAUCUCCGUGAAUCAUCGAAUCUUUGAACGCACAUUGCGCCCCCUGGUAUUCCGGGGGGCAUGCCUGUCCGAGCGUCAUUACAACCCUCAAGCUCAGCUUGGUGUUGGGCCCCGCCGCCCCGGCGGGCCCUAAAGUCAGUGGCGGUGCCGUCCGGCUCCGAGCGUAGUAAUUCUUCUCGCUCUGGAGGCCCGGUCGUGUGCUCGCCAGCAACCCCCAAUUUUUUUCAGGUUGACCUCGGAUCAGGUAGGGAUACCCGCUGAACUUAAGCAUAUCAAUAAGCGGAGGA
rnacentral:misc_RNA from 1 species